rnacentral:rRNA from 1 species
GACGAACGCUGGCGGCGUGGAUUAGGCAUGCAAGUCGAACGGUAUCAUCCUUUCGGGGGUGAGAGAGUGGCGAACUGGUGAGUAACACGUAGGUUAUCUACCCUCAAGACGGGGACAACCCAGGGAAACUUGGGCUAAUACCGGAUGUGAGCAACUUUUAGUUGUUUGAAAGGUGGCGUAAGCUGUCGCUUGGGGAUGAGCCUGCGUCCUAUUAGUUAGUUGGUGAGGUAACGGCUCACCUAGGCAAUGAUAGGUAGGCGGCCUUAACGGGUGGUCGCCCACACUGGGAUUGAGAUACGGCCCAGACUCCUACGGGAGGCAGCAGUCGAGAAUAAUCUACAAUGGUCGGAAGACUGAUAGUGCGACGCCGCGUGAACGAUGAAUCCCUUCGGGGUGUAAAGUUCUUUUAUAUGUGAGCAGUGCUUCUUAUAUUAACAGUAUGGGGAGAGAGAUAUUAGCAUAUGAAUAAGCAACGGCUAACUCCGUGCCAGCAGCCGCGGUAAACGUGU